GGGAUAAGCCUGGGAAACUGGGUCUAAUACCGGAUAUGACCACGAAUCGCAUGGUUUGUGGUGGAAAGAUUUAUCGGUGCGAGAUGGGCCCGCGGCCUAUCAGCUUGUUGGUGGGGUAAUGGCCUACCAAGGCGACGACGGGUAGCCGGCCUGAGAGGGCGACCGGCCACACUGGGACUGAGACACGGCCCAGACUCCUACGGGAGGCAGCAGUGGGGAAUAUUGCACAAUGGGCGGAAGCCUGAUGCAGCGACGCCGCGUGAGGGAUGACGGCCUUCGGGUUGUAAACCUCUUUCGACAGGGACGAAGCGCAAGUGACGGUACCUGUAGAAGAAGCACCGGCCAACUACGUGCCAGCAGCCGCGGUAAUACGUAGGGUGCGAGCGUUGUCCGGAAUUACUGGGCGUAAAGAGCUUGUAGGCGGUUCGUCGCGUCGAUCGUGAAAACUUGCAGCUCAACUGCGAGCUUGCGGUCGAUACGGGCGGACUAGAGUACUGCAGGGGAGACUGGAAUUCCUGGUGUAGCGGUGAAAUGCGCAGAUAUCAGGAGGAACACCGGUGGCGAAGGCGGGUCUCUGGGCAGUAACUGACGCUGAGAAGCGAAAGCGUGGGUAGCGAACAGGAUUAGAUACCCUGGUAGUCCACGCCGUAAACGGUGGGCGCUAGGUGUGGGUUUCCUUCCACGGGAUCCGUGCCGUAGCUAACGCAUUAAGCGCCCCGCCUGGGGAGUACGGCCGCAAGGCUAAAACUCA
rnacentral:rRNA from 1 species